CACGACAGUAUCUCUGAGGAGGGUUUCCAUUACCUCGUCUUUGACCUGGUGACAGGUGGUGAGCUCUUUGAGGACAUUGUGGCGCGGGAGUACUACAGCGAGGCCGAUGCCAGUCACUGUGUCCAUGAGCUCUUUGCCCGCGUUCCUCCCACCCAUCGCUUUGCCCCUGAGCAGAGGGAGCCGCAG